rnacentral:snRNA from 1 species
AUGCUCACUUUGGCAGCACAUAUACUAAAAUUGAAAUGAUACAGAGAAGGUUAGCAUGGCCCUGCACAAUGACAGCAAUACGAAGCAUGUUUUA